rnacentral:rRNA from 1 species
CCUACGGGUGGCAGCAGUGAGGAAUAUUGGUCAAUGGCCGAGAGGCUGAACCAGCCAAGUCGCGUGAGGGAAGACGGCCCUACGGGUUGUAAACCUCUUUUGUCGGGGAGCAAAGCGAGUCACGUGUGACUCAUUGAGAGUACCCGAAGAAAAAGCAUCGGCUAACUCCGUGCCAGCAGCCGCGGUAAUACGGAGGAUCCGAGCGUUAUCCGGAUUUAUUGGGUUUAAAGGGAGCGUAGGCGGGUUGUUAAGUCAGUUGUGAAAGUUUGCGGCUCAACCGUAAAAUUGCAGUUGAUACUGGCAUCCUUGAGUACAGUAGAGGUAGGCGGAAUUCGUGGUGUAGCGGUGAAAUGCUUAGAUAUCACGAAGAACUCUGAUUGCGAAGGCAGCCUGCUGGACUGUAACUGACGCUGAUGCUCGAAAGUGUGGGUAUCAAACAGGAUUAGAUACCCGGGUAGUC